CUACGUGCCAGCAGCCGCGGUAAUACGUAGGUGGCAAGCGUUGUCCGGAAUUAUUGGGCGUAAAGCGCGCGCAGGCGGAUUGGUCAGUCUGUUUUAAAAGUUCGGGGCUUAACCCCGUGAUGGGAUGGAAACUGCCAAUCUAGAGUAUCGGAGAGGAAAGUGGAAUUCCUAGUGUAGCGGUGAAAUGCGUAGAUAUUAGGAAGAACACCAGUGGCGAAGGCGACUUUCUGGACGAAAACUGACGCUGAGGCGCGAAAGCCAGGGGAGCGAACGGGAUUAGAUACCCCGGUAGUCCUGGCCGUAAACGAUGGGUACUAGGUGUAGGAGGUAUCGACCCCUUCUGUGCCGGAGUUAACGCAAUAAGUACCCCGCCUGGGGAGUACGACCGCAAGGUUGAAACUCAAAGGAAUUGACGGGGGCCCGCACAAGCGGUGGAGUAUGUGGUUUAAUUCGACGCAACGCGAAGAACCUUACCAGGUCUUGACAU
rnacentral:rRNA from 1 species